rnacentral:rRNA from 1 species
AUUGAACGCUGGCGGCAUGCCUAACACAUGCAAGUCGAACGGCAGCACGGCAGUAGCAAUACUGUGGGUGGCGAGUGGCGGACGGGUGAGGAAUACGUCGGAAUCUGCCCAGUCGUGGGGGAUAACUAGCCGAAAGGUUAGCUAAUACCGCAUACGACCGAGAGGUGAAAGCGGGGGACCGCAAGGCCUCGCGCGAUUGGAUGAGCCGACGUCGGAUUAGCUAGUUGGUGGGGUAAAGGCCCACCAAGGCGACGAUCCGUAGCUGGUCUGAGAGGAUGAUCAGCCACACUGGAACUGAGACACGGUCCAGACUCCUACGGGAGGCAGCAGUGGGGAAUAUUGGACAAUGGGCGCAAGCCUGAUCCAGCAAUGCCGCGUGAGUGAUGAAGGCCUUAGGGUUGUAAAGCUCUUUUACCAGGGAUGAUAAUGACAGUACCUGGAGAAUAAGACUCCGGCUAACUCCGUGCCAGCAGCCGCGGUAAA